rnacentral:rRNA from 1 species
AAUAGAUACCCAGGUAGUCCACGCCGUAAACGAUGAGUGCUAAGUGUUAGAGGGUUUCCGCCCUUUAGUGCUGAAGUUAACGCAUUAAGCACUCCGCCUGGGGAGUACGGCCGCAAGGCUGAAACUCAAAGGGAAUUGACGGGGGCCCGCACAAGCGGUGGAGCAUGUGGUUUAAUUCGAAGCAACGCGAAGAACCUUACCAGGUCUUGACAUCCUCUGACAACCCUAGAGAUAGGGCUUCUCCUUCGGGAGCAGAGUGACAGGUGGUGCAUGGUUGUCGUCAGCUCGUGUCGUGAGAUGUUGGGUUAAGUCCCGCAACGAGCGCAACCCUUGAUCUUAGUUGCCAUCAUUAAGUUGGGCACUCUAAGGUGACUGCCGGUGACAAACCGGAGGAAGGUGGGGAUGACGUCAAAUCAUCAUGCCCCUUAUGACCUGGGCUACACACGUGCUACAAUGGACGGUACAAAGAGCUGCAAGACCGCGAGGUGGAGCUAAUCUCAUAAAACCGUUCUCAGUUCGGA